rnacentral:lncRNA from 1 species
GCUAAGGAUAUAUAUAUCAGGGUGUUCCUUAUUCAGGGUGUCGACGAAUUCUUGCCAGACCAUCCCCCAAAUCAACUUCAAAUAAUUCGAAAACAAUCGCCUAAUUUUUUCAGAUUUUUACAUCGAAUCUAAGAUAGAGAUCGGAAGUGC